CAUACCUAUUCGAAGGGAUAGGGUCGGUUUGGCCGGAUUUCACACAGGUGUUGCAUGGCUGUCGUCAGCUCGUGUCGUGAGAUGUUGGGUUAAGUCCCGCAACGAGCGCAACCCUCAUCCUUAGUUACCAUCAGGUUAUGCUGGGGACUUUAAGGAAACUGCCAGUGAUAAACUGGAGGAAGGUGGGGAUGAUGUCAAGUCAUCAUGGCCCUUAUGGAGUGGGCUACACACGUGCUACAAUGGUGAUUACAAUGGGCUGCAAGGUCGUAAGGCUGAGCUAAUCCUAAAAAAUCAUCUCAGUUCGGAUUGUUCUCUGCAACUCGAGAGCAUGAAGUUGGAAUCGCUAGUAAUCGUGGAUCAGCAUGCCACGGUGAAUACGUUCUCGGGUCUUGUACACACUGCCCGUCACGCCAUGGGAAUUGGUUUCACUCGAAGCU
rnacentral:rRNA from 1 species